GCACGUCUGCUCUCUGAACGCCAGCAGCAUCUGCUCCACCACAAACACCAGCAGGAAGCCCAUGGCCAGGAUGAACUCGGCUAACGGGAAGUGCAGCUGCGCUCGGACGCAGAGAGAGAGAGAGAGAGGACAUCCAACAUCCAAGACCGCCACGUGCCGGAUGUUGUGAACGCGCUCAGCACAGUGCGGUGGAUCAGAGCCGUGGAGCCCAUUGACUGCCAUUAUAUGACUGACAGACUGCAACGGUUUGAGUUAAAAACCUUCUUACUGAAGAAACAAAGUCACCUACAUCUUGGAUGUCCUGGGGGUAAGCAGAUAAACAUUUUCAUUUUUGGGUGAACUAUCCCUUUAAACAAGAAAACACAAUUUUAAUAUUUAUUAGGUGAAAAACAAGAUUGUGAUGCCUGUCACAAAUAGAGGGAGGAGUCAACAAAUCAGUGAUGCGCCCACAUCAUGUGACACUGAAGACUGGAGUAAUAAUGCUGAAAAUUCAGCUUUGAUCACAGAAAUGAAUUAGAGUUUAGCAGAUAUUCACAUAGAAAACAGCUGUUUUAAACUGUAAUAAUAUUUCACAAUUUUUACUGUAUUUUUGAUCAAAUAAAUGCAGCCUUGGUGAGCAGAAGAGACUUCUUUCAGAAACUUUUUUUUUUAAAGACCUUGAUAGUAACCCAGAAUGUGCUGGCUAUCAUCA